AAGACUAUUUUUUUUUAAUGUGAAGGUUUAUUUGUUGAGAAUCUCCUCACAUGUGAGGUAGCCAUUUGAGUGAGAAAUUAAAUCUUCCUUGCACAUGACCAAAAGGGAGUAUAAGUAAGAUUUGUUGUGCACAAUAUGGAGAUCCCAUAACAGAAUUUUAACUAGAUUCAAUACGAAGCUAUACAAUGGUAUGAGCUUUAAUAAAAGAUAAUGCAAAACUAGGCCUGUUUAAAAGAUGAGUCGGCCAGGACCUUAGCCUGAUUAUUCAAGCCCAUACAUUAGCCCAAUCCCAGUUCAUAUAACCCCAAAAAAAAUAAAAAAACUAUUAAUAUGUUAUUAUUGGGCAGACCAGGCCUUCUAUGAACAUAAAUGCCAAUCCCAGAGGUAGGCCUCAACUCAACCAGGCCAAAUCAGAUCCCAAGCCCAACAUCUUUGCAGGUCAGGCCAAGAAGGUCCAUGGGACCAUGAAAUAGCCAAUGCAAAACACAUAGGAAGUUAGAUUAGAAAAAGAAAAAGCAAUGCAUAUUUGAAAUUUAUUGAAACAUCCAGACUAGGUUGCAGGAUGAAAUAAGUACCUCUAAAAUAUCCUUCAAUUU
rnacentral:misc_RNA from 1 species